rnacentral:rRNA from 1 species
AUUGAACGCUGGCGGCAUGCCUUACACAUGCAAGUCGAACGGCAGCACGGGAGCAAUCCUGGUGGCGAGUGGCGAACGGGUGAGUAAAGUAUCGGAACGUGCCCAGUCGUGGGGGAUAACGUAGCGAAAGUUACGCUAAUACCGCAUACGAUCUAUGGAUGAAAGCGGGGGAUCGCAAGACCUCGCGCGAUUGGAGCGGCCGAUAUCAGAUUAGGUAGUUGGUGGGGUAAAGGCUCACCAAGCCGACGAUCUGUAGCUGGUCUGAGAGGACGACGAGCCACACUGGGACUGAGACACGGCCCAGACUCCUACGGGAAGCAGCAGUGGGGAAUUUUGGACAAUGGGCGAAAGCCUAAUCCAGCCAUGCCGCGUGCAGGAUGAAGGCCUUAGGGUUGUAAACUGCUUUUGUACGGAACGAAAGGGUUUGGCCUAAUAAGCUGAGCUCAUGACGGUACCGUAAGAAUAAGCACCGGCUAACUACGUGCCAGCCGCCGCCGCGG